ensembl:Mt_tRNA
AGUCCUGCGGUGAAUGUCAUGUUGAAUUGCAAAUUCAAAGAAGCAGCUUGGCGCUGCCGGGGCUUC